UGGGGAAUAUUGGACAAUGGGCGCAAGCCUGAUCCAGCCAUGCCGCGUGAGUGAUGAAGGCCCUAGGGUUGUAAAGCUCUUUCACCGGUGAAUAUAAUGACGGUAACCGGAGAAGAAGCCCCGGCUAACUUCGUGCCAGCAGCCGCGGUAAUACGAAGGGGGCUAGCGUUGUUCGGAUUUACUGGGCGUAAAGCGCACGUAGGCGGACUUUUAAGUCAGGGGUGAAAUCCCGGGGCUCAACCCCGGAACUGCCUUUGAUACUGGAAGUCUUGAGUAUGGUAGAGGUGAGUGGAAUUCCGAGUGUAGAGGUGAAAUUCGUAGAUAUUCGGAGGAACACCAGUGGCGAAGGCGGCUCACUGGACCAUUACUGACGCUGAGGUGCGAAAGCGUGGGGAGCAAACAGG
rnacentral:rRNA from 2 species